rnacentral:lncRNA from 1 species
GAGUGACAAAAAUCAUCAAAGUUCAGUGUAACUCCAUAAAGUCCUCAUAUCCUAGAAACUAUUUUAGAUAGAAAAAUCCAGACUUUUUCAGAAAAAUGUACUUUUUAGAGAAAUUAAACUACAUCAAUAGUUUUUUGCAAAAGUCAUACAUGAUUACAGAUUUUGUACUUUGAAUUUUUUGCCCCAUGAAAGCGAAUUAUGGAUGCGAAAAAAUAUUACUUAGAUUUGUUUAAAAAACUACUUAACAAAAUAGAGAUAAGACUCCCCAAUUUUUGGAAGUCUGUCAACAAGUCACAGCUCCUACGAACUUGCAUAGGAACUGGGCAUAGUAACGCCUGACAUUUAUUAGUGGUUGUAUGUCAGUUGCCUUCUUGCGAUUCACAUGUUUUAAACAAAAAUGCAUCAGGCUAUUGCAUUGCUACAGUCUUCGAUGCUGAGCGUAAUCUCUCGACGCAUGGCAAGCACAGAUUAGUAACAUACAGAUGCCAAACUCUGUAUACUGUUAAUGGAAAUUGUUUUGAAAUCACGUGAU